AGGGAAUUUUUAACGUUUGAUUGAAUGGUGCCCCCUGGAAACGCCUAUAUGACAUUCGGCUUUGGCCGCUCGGCGUUUGGCUGCUAGCUUCAGCUACAUAAUUUAAUUAAAAACAAUAAAAUAUAACAAUUAAAAAAUUACGUUUAACUCUAAUUUAAUUCAUUAUUUAUUAACGGUAUUAUAUAUUAAAAUGAUCGCUAGUUUUAAAAUAAAUGAAAAUCAGAAAUGCAUUGGUAAGAUGAGAUUGUUUUUUUAAGCACAUUGUUUUGUAUUAUUUGUAUUAUAGUUAUAUUUUAUAUAUGGACGUUUUAAAAAUAACAAACUGUUAUUUAACUCGAGAAAUUUUUAAAAAUUUAAUCUUUUAUCACUUAAGAAUGUACAGUUAAUCUUAAACAAAUUAUAGCGUCGAAAUUUAAUUUCAAUCUUAAUACCGUCAUCGUCAAAAUGCAUAACGUUAAAUAUUUAAAUUUGUAGCAAAUAGUGUCUCAUGAUUAUAUAUACCCUGAUGUAAUUACAGCACAGCUUCUAUAUAAAUGCAACUUUAGUAGUAGCGAAACAUUCUGCGACAGCACAUUAGUCGCUGCUCCACGUAAAACCACGCCCGUAUUGUCAUACUUAAUAAUAUCACGUAGUUUCGACGCUGCUCGAUCAUUCGUUAAUAAUAGAUAGAAUGGCGAGAUGGGCGAGGUCGUCGCGCGUACACAAUUUCUAGUGUAACAUUCGCGAUACUAAUUAUACCGUAGCGCGACGGAAGUCCCGAUGAAAUUUAAUCGAGUUGUACAGCAGUCCGUACGCAGUCCGGACGAAUAAUCCGUCGCGACCGGAUAAUCUGUCUGAUACAGUCACGAUUCGUUCGCGCGAUGCAUUUCUCCUUCUUCCUCCCUGAGGGUCUCAGCCCCAGUUGCAUCACGACGUACGUCGCGGUAAUUCUUCGAGCAGCCGCGCUUUUUUGUGUUAUCGUUACGCGCACGUCCAUUUCGUCAUAAUUUUUAAUACAACGCGCGAUAUAAAGUAACGCGUGUUAGCUGGUGUUACAUUUCUCAAACAAUUGUAGGAAUAACUAACGGUGGUUGGAGGGAACCGAGAUUCAUCAUACUGUAAAUUCCUAAUGUUGAAUGGCAUCUAAUUUGAGUUAUUCUUUAAUCAUUUUUAUAUAACCACUGCUUCUCCUCACACCAUUAAUUUAACUAAAAGUGAAGAGAUGGAAGAACCGCUUUUUAAAAUUGACGUUUGGAAACAGCGUAAAAAUUUUUUAUUUCAACAACAUGUUUAUCGCGUAUUGAAGAUAAAAUAUAGAACACACUCAUGUUUAGUCACGACGAGCUCAUCCUUUACUAGUUUGUAAUCGAAUGUACAGGAUUCACAGAAAAAGACGUGUCGCACAUCGCAAAUAUAAAAAUAUAAAAAUAUUACAACUCAUUGAGUUCGUUCGUUUACUUGUUCGUCGAGAGAUAACUUGAAGAAAUUGUUCACUAUACGAAGAUACAUGUAGGUAAAUGCAAGGAUCUAAAAUUUAACGAUCUGUGUCAGUUCAUAAAAUGUAUUUCCGCGGACGGAAUAAUGAAGGAAAAGAUCGGAUUCUUCGAUUAUCUCGAGUUUUGCAAAACAAAUUACAUAUUACGAUUAAAAACUGGAUGAAGCCAGUCAGCAGCGAUUUUAGCAGAGUACCGAAGAAUAUAUUUCAUAUGUAAUUUUUAUAUACAUUUUCUAGUUUUUCUAAUUCUUCUUCUGCACGCCAUUAGCGCGCUUUCAAUUUUAAAACGUUCUUAAAUUGAAUCAGAAUAGUAUACUAUCACAAUAUUAAAUUGAUAAUUGAUUUAAUAAUAUUAAUGCUAACAAGCAUCUAUUAUAAUCAUUAAAAAAAAACAAAUAUCACAUACGAAAUAUAUUAUUGAGUACUCUACCAAAAUUCUUUGUUGACCUAUCUUAUCUAGAUUUUGAUUGUGUUACCUUACGGUUUUAUAUACACACAUAUAUAUAUAUAUAUAAUUUUUUAAUUACGUAUUAUCCUGUGGAACGUUACGUUAGAUCAUAAUUGAAGGAUGAAAGACGCCCAAAAAAAUGUUAUUGUACAAUGUUAAUUGCGAAUGCCACGCGAUUGAAUAUGUAAUUAUCGGUCAAAUUGUUUUUUUUUCUACGCGCGCGAAAACAGUGCAUUAGAACGUAAUAGUGAAUAUUCAGAUUGAUAUGCCGCAAUGUAUUUUCAGCUUCCGUUAAUUUUAUUUUAAUCCUGCGCGGCACCACGAGGUGAUUUAUUCUGGCACGUCCGUAUCCCGCAAUAGCAUACGAAAAUAAUGAUAUUCGACGCUUUUAUCGCUCUUAUCGUGCUGGUCGGAUUUUAUCUCUCGCGCCCAAGUGUACUCCGCGCAUUAUUAAAUCGCACAGUACGUCGAGUAUGUCGAGUAGUUUCGUCUGCAUAUAACACUCGCAAGACUUAAUGCAUUCGUAAAGUUGUGCAACUAUCUCGAGAAACGCGAGUGCCGUUUGAGCAAGGAGUGAGAUGUUAGUAUAAAUAAUGUCGGAGAGCGUAGCGAAAAACGCUGAUAAGAAUAGUGAUUGUAAACUUUGUUUAGACACGAUGCAUUUGUAAUGAAGGCAUUGUACUGUGUUACUGUAUUGCGUUAAGCGUUGUACAGGCAAUUCAAUACGUCUUUAAGCAGGAUAUAUUUUGUUAAAAAACAUUAAAUUGUUUCUCUUAUUUCAAAAAUUUAUAAUAACAGAAAUAAGGGGAGAAGAACAAGCAUUUGCACUUGAAACAAACGCAUCAAACGCGCGAUAUAUAUAUCGAUAAAGCGUUGCAUCCAUGUUAUACAAAUGAUCAAACGCGUGCCUAUCGUAUUGAUACUGCGAUUUAGCUCAGCUUUUCUGAUGGGAUCAUUUAUUUACGCUAUUUUCUUUAUUAAUUCGCCAUUGUUUUAGAAAUUUUGAAUUUUUCUUAGAAUUUUUUUUAGAGUUUUCCAAAAUAGCGACUAUGUGCAUUUUGCUAAUUCAGCUUGUGAAAGAUGAAAACCUAAUUAACGACCGUUAAAAAGCAGUAGAUCAGUGCGCAUAUAAUAAGGUUAAAUUCAAUUUUUAGAAAGCGUGGCGAGAAAUUUUAUUUCUUUCCGUGAUAAAUAAAUGAUCACUUCCAAACUUUUUAUGUUCUCAUAUAUUUAUUUUAAGUAACCUAUCCAAGUUUCCAUAUCACUUAAUCAUCUUAGUUGAUCCAUUAAUUUUGUCUAAUAAUCAUAUAUGGUAGAAAAAUGUAUUACUUUUUAAUAAUAUUACUUUAUUUCAAAGAAACCCUAAUAAUCCUUAAAAAAUAUUUAAGGUAUUCAAGAGCAUAAUCUUUGUGUUAUUAUUGUACAUAUCUUAGAGUAAAAAUAUGUCCUUAUAAAAAUUAUUUUUAAUACUGAAAUUUAAUUUAAAAAAACAUAUUUACUUAUUCAUCAUUUUUAGAUUUAGGUAUAUAGAUUUAUUACUUUUAAUUAAAUUAUUUUUCCGGAAAAGAAAAUGAUAGUUCUCUUGCUUCAAGAAAAGAUUCUCUCUCUCUCUCUCUCUCUCUCUUUCUCUCUCUCUCUCUCUCUCUCUCUCUCUCUCUCUCUCUCUCUCUCUCUCUCUCUCUUUCUCUCUUCUAUAGUAAAAUUUCUAAUUUAUUGCAAAAUUAUUUAUUUAAAGGAUAAUAUUUUAUUAUUACUAAAAAAAAAUAUUGCAAGUAAUUAUUUCUUUUAAGAGAUAAUAUUUCACGAAAAGAUUGUUGUUCAAAAUGAGUUAACUUAAAAUGAAUGUUUUUUUCGCGCAUAUGUGUGUGCAAAAAAUAUUAUUUUUAAUAAUUAUCUCUCAAAAUAGAAAAUAGAAAAAUAGAAAAUAUUUGUAUCAGUAGAACACGCAAUCUGUGUUCCAAGAAUCUGUAAUAGCAAUUAUUUUGGCGCGCGCGCUCGACAGUAGGCCCAUCGAUCAGGCCGAUGACACUUAGGAAAAUGAAGAGCUGCCUUGAAAUGCGACUUUGUUAAGUUUGCACGACGUUUGGUUCGCUCACGCGCGAUUACCGCCACGCGCGGAAACGCUGACUCGACAUCGAUCGAUAUAGAGACAAUGUCGAAACCAAAUUAACGACGAGAUAAUCGACCGGAAGAAGUUAUAGAAAACAACAUGAAGGAAAGAUGAAGAGUCAUCGUUUUAAAGAACGCCUGUGUUUAACUUGCAGAUGCAAAUAUAUUGAUCGUAAAAACAAAUGCAAUGUUCUGGCAUCGAGAUGGGACAAAGAAUAAUGAUGUGUGUGUGUGUGUGCGCGCGCGCUUGCGACAAAGUAAUACAAAGAAUAAUGAACCACAGCAAAGAAAAACUCGAUAAAUUUGAGUUCCAUCCUCAUCACCUUUAUUUUUUUAUGCUAUCCUCAUCUCUAUCUUUUUUGCUUUUUUUCGCCAAUAAUCAACCGAUAGCAAUUUCUUUGCAUGUCUCUUUCCUUCUUGCAAGUUUUUUCGCUGUCUUCCCUUAGUGUCUUCACUUUUAUUUUAUCCUCUUUCACACUCUUCCUGCGAAUUUUUUUCAAAGACUCUUGUGCUUUGCCGUUUAAUUUCACGCUGUAAAUUAAUAAGAACCGUGAAUGAUAAAGAGCGAGUGGGAACAAGCGUGACUUAUAAAUGUUAGCCGCUUAGAGAAGGAUUAACAAGUUCACAAUGAAAGACGAAUUCAUGGAAAAGAGAUCGAUAACAUCAAUCGACGUUAAUUUUUAUUUUAUCUUGUCAAAUAAUUAAAUAAUGGCAUUCCAAAUAAAAUGAAAAUAUCACACGGUCGUUAUUUACCUUUUAAAUAAAUUUUAUAAUGUAAAAAUAACGUAUCUCGUAAAAUCUACGUCAUUCUAUCAUUCAACACGUGUUGUAAACUAUUUAUAUUAAUUAUACGUAUAUGUACAUGCUAUAACAAAAAUAUUGAGAUUAAUAAUUUAAAAAUAAAAUUAAAAUAACUAACAAAAAUAAAUGGAAUAAAACGUUACGGAGUAAAAUUAUAAAAUAACGAUAUAAAAAAUAUUGUAAUAAUACUAAUCUCCAACGAUGCAUCGAUAAAAGAGAAAAUAUCGCGAAAUACGUGGUAUGUUCCGUAUGCUCCAUUUUUAUUUCUUGUUUGCAUUAAAAGACAACAAUAGUAGAAGAAAAACGUAACAUCGACAAUUGAUGACUGUAGAAUAUUUACGAUGUGCGGUUGCGUUAUUUAUACGAUAUAACCGAUACGCGAUCGAAAGUGAUGAUCAGCAGAGUUUGUUUGCCGUAUUUGAGAUAUGCGUGUCCGCUCCGUUGUGCAAUUUCGUUGAUUUUAAUCUUCUUGUGGACGUAACGCACUUGCAUAAUUAAUGCGUUUACGGCACAAAGAAACGAGCAUAUCGCUGUUACAUUCAUUUUUACUCUUCUUUUAAUAUCGUGUACACGCACAAACAGAUACAUGUGUGCCGAUACCGAUGCGCGAUAUACACAUACGCACGUUAGACAUUCCUAAUCAGGAAAGUGGAGACGCGAUAAAUCAUUGUGGCUAUCAUAAAAGUUGAUAGGAAGAAUACAUAUAUUUCUUAUGUACACAAAUGCGUAAUUAUACAUGUUGAUUCAGGCUAUAGCAUGAAUUUCAUAUUGUGUUUUUUAGCAGUUUGAAAUAACCAAUUAAAAUUACUUUUACAUUGUAUAUUUUUUUUAAUCAUAAAAGUAUGAUUGCAUAUUUUUUAAAAUAUAAAUAGUGUAAAUAAAUUGGAUCAAAAAUGUUUCACCAGUUAAAAACACCUGACGUGUAUUAUCUAUUAAAAGCACACACAUACACACACACACACACUUCUUAUGAUUAAUUAUUUUACAUAGGUUAAAAAUAUUUUUCUAUUAACAUAUAGAAUUUAUCCUCGUAAUUAAUUUUUUUAAUAAAUUAUUAAUAUUACAAGUUUUUUUACUAUCUUAUUCUCGCUUUUUGAUUAAGAAAAUUUGCCAUGUCCUUUAGACAAAAAAGUUUUUAAACCGCGUGAAAAUAUUAUAAAAUAUUGAAAAAGAUCCGCUUUCUCUCUAAUGCUAUUAAUUUUAUAUACACAAAUCGUUGCAAAUGAUAAAUUAUCUGGCAUUAGUUUUUAUGCAGCGCGAUUGUAAAAUGCGAGAGAAUCGCGGCAGUGUGAUACCCGCUUAUGAAUAUUUAUGGCAAAAUACGAAGAAGAACGAAAUAAGAUCUCUCGUAGCCAUUAUAGCGACAUGCAGUCCGUUUUCGUUUUGCUUGCUUUGCAUUCGCGAGCUCGUUCAUUCGCUUGUUGGAAUACUUAACACCUUUUGAUACGCAUACGUAGGAAACAGGUUUUUGCUGCUCAUUUUAGAUUGCUAGCUGCCGACGGAGUUGAAUCGCGAUAUAGUGUAACAUAUUAACAUCACGAUUCAAUAAGUUUAAUUAGUAACAUCAUAUAAAUUAAUUCUUUAUAAAAGAUAUAUAUCGUUCGUAUACAUAUAAAAGUUAUAGGAAAUGUUGUAAUUUACAAUUAUCCACCCAAUCAACGUGUAGCAAUCGAUGCCAUUCCCGGUAAACAAGUUGACAUUUAUUACUGCCUCUCCCACACUCCCUCCUCCUCUUUUGCUUUUUCUCAUUCUUUCUGUUAGACAGAUUUAUUCAAUUUAGUCGAGAUGUGAGAGAAACGCGAGAUUGAUAAUUACGAGUAUCGUCAAAAUGGUUACGCAACCAGAAAAUUACUUUUACUUGGAAAAUUUCGCUCUGGGAAUUACUCAUACGCUCGUCAGUAUAAUCAGCGUCAACUCCGUGACUCGUUUCAGAUUCGCUAGCGAAAAGCCGAGUAUACACGCGACGCACGCUACGUGGCGAUAGAUUGAAAUAAAUAUGACGUAAGUUCCGUCAUAUUAAAUAAUGAUCCGCUCGUUAUAUCCGCGCGCACGGGCUAACGUGUUCGGCCGAAACGUGUAUGUAAAUUACGAUAUCUUGCGAAUAGGAUCGUACGCUUGUGCUCGCUGUAUGAAAGCACACAGUGAAAUAAAAGAGGACAAAUGCAAGAACAGAGGCUCGCACGUACGUUUGCACUCGCGCGGCUGUAUGUGCGACUUGUGCGCUUGUAAAUGCAAUCACGUACGGAAGCCAAAGAGCUAUUUCCCGAGUGCGCCGGGGCGAUAAAAAGCGCGAUGUCGUCGCAUCAAGCAUCCACUGUCUAAUACACAAUGUCGAUCACGGCUGCUUCUCUUUCUUUUUUCCUCGUAAAUACAAUUUUGCAAUAUUAAAUAUUAAAAAGUCCAAUUUAAUAAUCAAUUCCAUAAAUCAAAUGACAUAUUUUGUUAUUUUUAACCGUCAUAUAUAUCAAGAUUUAUUAUUUUAAUAAAAGCAAAUGUAGUUAAAAAAACAACUCGUAUAAUCAAUCCAUUUUUGUGAUUGAAUUGUUUAAUUUCAAAGUAAGUGGUAUUUAUUUUAUAUUAACAUAUAUACCUAAUGUAAAUAAUAAAAUAACUAAAUUUUCAAUUUUAAUUAAAUUUAAUAAAUUUUUCAGAUUAAAUUAAUUAAUUGCAUUUGUUUAAUCUUAAAUUAAUACAAUGACAUAUUGAGUAUCAACAAUGACAAUGAUAACUAUAGGAAUGAUCAACAAAUAAUUCGAAUUGGAUACAAUUAAUAAAUUUAAUAGUGUACGAUAAAAAAAA
rnacentral:lncRNA from 1 species